rnacentral:rRNA from 1 species
GAUGAACGCUAGCUACAGGCUUAACACAUGCAAGUCGAGGGGCAGCAUGAACUUAGCUUGCUAAGUUUGAUGGCGACCGGCGCACGGGUGAGUAACACGUAUCCAACCUUCCGUUUACUCAGGGAUAGCCUUUCGAAAGAAAGAUUAAUACCUGAUAGUAUGGUGAGAUUGCAUGAUAGCACCAUUAAAGAUUUAUUGGUAAACGAUGGGGAUGCGUUCCAUUAGGUAGUAGGCGGGGUAACGGCCCACCUAGCCGACGAUGGAUAGGGGUUCUGAGAGGAAGGCCCCCCACAUUGGAACUGAAACACGGUCCAAACUCCUACGGGAGGCAGCAGUGAGGAAUAUUGGUCAAUGGACGAGAGUCUGAACCAGCCAAGUAGCGUGAAGGAUGAAGGUCUUACGGAUUGUAAACUGCUUUUAUGCGGGGAUAAAGUUGCCCACGCGUGGGUUUUUGCAGGUACCGCAUGAAUAAGGACCGGCUAAUUCCGUGCCAGCAGCCGCGGU